ACGCUGGCGGCGUGCCUCAGACAUGCAAGUCGAACGCGAAAGUUCCCUUCGGGGAGCAAGUAGAGUGGCGCACGGGUGAGUAACACGUAGGUAAUCUACCUUUGGAUGGGGAAUAACAACCGGAAACGGUUGCUAAUACCGCAUAAUGCAGCGGCACCUAAUGGUGACAGUUGUUAAAGCGGGGGAUCGAAAGACCUCGCGUCUGAAGAGGAGCCUGCGGCGGAUUAGCUAGUUGGUAAGGUAAUGGCUUACCAAGGCUAUGAUCCGUAACCGGCCUGAGAGGGCGGUCGGUCACACUGACACUGACAUACGGGCCAGACUCCUACGGGAGGCAGCAGUCGGGAAUUUUGGGCAAUGGGCGAAAGCCUGACCCAGCAACGCCGCGUGAAGGAUGAAAUCCCUCGGGAUGUAAACUUCGCAAGAACGGGAAGAAUAAGUUGGUGUGAAUAUCACCAGCGAUGACGGUACCGUUUGUAAGCUCCGGCUAACUCCGUGCCAGCAGCCGCGGUAAUACGGGGGGAGCAAGCGUUGUUCGGAUUUACUGGGCGUAAAGGGCGCGUAGGCGGCCACUGCAAGUCGGUUGUGAAAUCUCCGGGCUUAACCCGGAAAGGUCAAUCGAUACUGCAGGGCUAGAGUGCA
rnacentral:rRNA from 1 species